AGCCUGUUCUCUGGGACAUCAGGUGACAGACUAGCUGUAGAGUCAUAAUUUCUCACUUUCAUUAAGUAGCUGUCCUUAUCAGUAGGAUAGGUGAACAGCAGCAGAAACUUUUCCCUAGGGAAUUUCAGAGGCCAUGAGGUUGGAAACUGGAGUCUUAGUUGUCAUAACCUAGUUCCCUUGCGUGGUGCUGCAGAUCCCCAUUGUCUGGGGAAGUCAGCUUGGCUGCUCACACAGUGGGGCAAACAUGGGCUCCAGGGUGCAACUUGGGACUCAGAUCUGGGCUCUGCCACUUGUUAUCUCACGUCUCUAAGCCUCCAUUUCUUUCUCUGAAAAAUGGAGAUACUAUCUACUUCUCUUAUUUUAAGCUGUGGAACUAAUUUAUGUUGCAUUCCCAGCCCUCAAUUAACCGUGGAGUGCACAAUCUGAUUGAAAGAACCCGAUCGAGGCCAUUUUCUGGGUGUGCAUCCCUGUCUUCCUCUUUGGACAGCCUCUUGGGAAGGAAACAUACCAUUUAAAAAAGAAAAGUAGGGUUUGUGAGUGGAGCUGCAGCCAUCUUGCCCGACAAAUUGACCUCUUUGGUGAUUGGGGCUACAUUUUUUAUCCAAGUCAGGUCCAGAGUCUCUUAAUGCCAUUUUGUCUCUGACCAUGUGUGCCACCCAGGAGGAUCUGGGGUCGUAUCGUUCCAAGCCAGAAGAAGCCUAACGAUUGCUUGUUGAAAGAAAAUUGUUAUGGGCUCUCUAGGUAUUUGCAGCCUGACAAAUAACUGUCUUUCUCAAAGAGUUUAGACACACAUAACUAAACACUGAAUACCCAUAUGGCCCAUCACAGAUGAAAAGGUGGUAAAUAAGAAAAGCCCAGUGUAAUCAAUAAUGUUGUCUUCUAAACUACAUGAAGAAAAAUUCCAGUCAAUAUCUGGGAUAGUCAGUUCUUUUAAAACCAGGGAAUGAUGAGAAUGAGACGAUUCCAUAUAUAGAAAACGAUGUGAGGAAAUCUUUAUUCUAAUUCAAAAUGUUCACAUUUUUGCAAUUCAUGAGAUUUCUCUGUAGCAAAAGAGGAAUAUGAUUGUAUAUAAAAUUUAGUGGCUCUGAACAAAAUUGAGUAAAUGCUGGAAAAAAUUUUGCCGUGUCAUUUCGCCUACAAAAUGAUAAAGGAAAAUAAUAGCUAAAAAGGCAGCAAGAAAUAAGCAGGCUCUGGUUGGGAGUAAUUUUUUUUUCAAAUGCAUUUUUUAAUUAAAAAGAAAUUGCCUCAGUUAACUGUUUUCAGAAAUAAGGCAUAAGAAUAACCUAAAAACACUGCUUUCUGGAAAGCAUAGAUAUUUAUUUUAAAUCAACUUGGUUAAAAGACCUUUAACUUGCUAUAUAGCUCAGUGACUAAAUGUUACUGCACUAAGAAACCACAGACUAUUUUUCUCAGGAUCUUUUAUUUUUUCCCUUAGAGAGGGAGAUUGUCUCUUCCCUGGUGGAGUUCAGUGAAUCAGAAUAUUGGUCAAAUAUGUAUUGAAUGCACAUGAUUUGACCCGUGUGGAUCCACUCUUUAGAGAAAAUGGCCUUGAUCGGGCUCUUUCAAUCAGAUUGUACACUCUACGGUUGAUUGAGGGCUGGGAAUGCAACGUAAAUUAGUAUGCUUUUUUUAAUGUGUAGAGAGUGGUUUCUGCUGCUUUUGAACAAGCUAAAGAAAUGUUUUUCCCAUGAAUCUCUGGGCAUCCUGGGUAUAUCUGUCUGUUCUAGCCCUGACUUCCUCACCGUACAUGGGGUGCUUCACUCACUUAGGCCUCCCAUCCCCUACCUACAUCAUCCUCCCUCCCCAGUCUGAACACUCCCGCACUCUGCCCAGCUGUGCCAGGAAGAAUGGCCACUCAGGGACAAGGCAGCAGGACCACUGUUGUUCUUUCCUUCUUUCAAACACGUAGGCACUUGGUGUGGGCACUCUUCUAGGUGCUGGAGAGAGAGAAAGUAAUGUGUAGAAAAGCAAAUACUGCAUGAUCUCACUUAUAUGUAGAAUCUAAAUAAGUCAAAUCCAUAGAAGCAGAGGGUAGAAUGGUGGUUACCAGGAGUGUGAGUGAAGAAAUGGGGAGAUGUAGGUCAAAGGGUACAAAGUUACAAAGUUACAGUCAUAUAGGGUGAAUAAGCCUAGAGAUCUAAUGCACAGCCUGAUGACUAUAGUUAAUACUGUAUUGUAUACUGGAAAUUUACAAAAAGUAGAUAUUAUGUGUUCUCACUGUAGAGUCCUAAGUAGAGAAAGGGAAUUAGGCUUGUGGGAGCAGGAGAAAGCAAAAAGAGAAAACAGAUAAACUGCAAGUUUACCUUUCUUCAUGGUUCAGGACACAGCCCUCCUGUGCAAAUAACUCUCAAUCUUCCUGCAUCCAGCUAUCACCAGACACCUGCAAGUCAGUUCACUGCAACCUUGGCAUUAUCAAUAUUGCACAAAGCCCUCUUCGACAGACAGCAUAAACACUAUCCUAUAAAAUCUCCAGCAAGCCUUUGUCUCUUGGCAAUUGGCUUCUCUCUUUGAGGCUGUCCGUUCUCUCUCUGGCAAUGUAUUUUUUCACUUUCUCUAAUAAAUCUGACUUCCUUGAGCUACAACUGUCUUGGCAAAUUCUUUUAACCCUGCGCCAUUGACUGUGGUUCCCCAAAAACACUCACCACAAAAAAAGUAACUGUGAAAAGAUGAGUAUGUUAAGUAGCUUGACUGUAGUAAUCAUUUCACUAUGUAUAUGUAUAUCAAAACAUCAUGUUGUAUGACUUCAAUAUAUAUUUUUUUAUUUAAAAAAGUAAUGGUAAGCAUUACUUCUGCCUGGGAAGAACCAAGAUGAGUGCUAAGGAGAAGUUGGGGGAGAGGCUUUGCUUUUGAUUGAGAGGACAGUUUGAAUGUCAAGAAAGAGGCCAACUGCAAAGAUCUAGGGGCAGGGAAUUCAGGCACAGAGAUAGGUAACUGUACAGGGCCUACGGUGGACAGGAAAAGGCCAGUGUGAUUGGAUCACAGUGUGGGAGGGGGAUGGCUUUUGGAGGGAGGUGCAUUUGAAGUUGUAGUAGGAAAGAGGGGCCAGACCAUUUAUCACUAUUUACUGAUAUCUCUCCAUUUUCCUCUCUAGCUCCACCCUCCACCCUGUUCUAUGGCCCUGGGCGUGACUUGCUCUUGCCCCUUGCCUUCUGUUUGGAUCCUGCCAAUGAGGACUCCUAGCAGGAGAUGGGGGCUCUCAUAUUUAACUGAAAGGCUCAGCUCCACGCAGCGUUUCUGUCUCCAGCCCACACAGCACGAUGAGAUAAAGACUAGAGGCUGCUCACUGCUGAGAGUGGACCAUCCAGCUCAUUUGGUCACAUAAUUUCCAGCCAGCCACCUUAUGGGCAAGAUUUUGGCUCACCUGUAAGCUAUUAGCUGGAUGUAUUUUUGAAAAUAUAUUACUGGAUUCAAUUUGCCAAUAUUCUCUUAAGAAUAUUUGCAUCUAUGUUUAUGAUUUUUCAUUUUCAUUUCUGUAUUUUUAAUUUUUUUUGUGAUGUCUUCAUCUGGUUUAUGUUAGGAAAAUACUGGCUUCAUGAAAUGGCUUGGAAGAUUUGGAGGCAACCUAAAUGUCCAUCAACAGAUGAAUGGAUAAAGAACAACAGGGUGACUAAAGUCAAUAAUAAUUUAAUUAUACAUUUAAAAAUAACUAAAAGAGUGUAAUUGGAUUGUUUGUAACACAAAAGAUAAAUGUUUGAGGGAAUGAAUACAUGAAGCGAUUAUUUGCAUGAUGUGAUUAUUUGCAUUGCAGGCCUGUAACAAAAUAUCUUAUGUACCCCAUAAAUAUACACACCUACUAUGUACCCACAAAAAUUAAAAAUUUUUAAAAAAUGACUUGGGAAGUUUGUCUCCUCUAUUUCCUGAAGAAGUUUGGGAAGGAUUGGUAUUAUUUCUUCUUUAAAUGUUUGGUAGAAUACAUCAGUGUAGCUAUUUGGCUGGAGUUUUACUUGUGGGACAGUUUUGAUGUAAGAAUUCAAUUUCUUUAACAGAUACAGAACUACUCUGGUUAUUCCUUCUUUUUGAGUGAGCUUUGAUAGUUUGUGGAUUAAAUGGCAAAUAUUCAUUUUCUUUGUCAGAUGUAUUGGCAUAAAGUUGCUUAUAUAACCCCUUAUUAUCCUUUAAAUAACUAUAUGAUCUGUAGUAAUGACUCCUCUUUCAUUCUUGAUAUUGGCAAUUUGUGUUUUUCUUAAUCAGUAAGACUGACUAGACGUUUAUCAGUUUUUAAAAUUGAUCUUAAGAAAGUGUCUGAUUUUGUUUUUUUCAAUUUCUACGUUUUUCUGUUUCAUUGAUUUCUGCUCUUAUCCUUAUUUACUUUAUUCUAAUUAUUUGGGUUAAAUUUACUCUUAUUUUCUAGUUGAUUUAGUUGGAGAUUUAAAUUACCUGAGACCUUCCUUCCUAAUACAGACAUUUAGUGCUAUAAAUUUUCUUCUAAGCACUGUUUUAUCUCUAUCCCCAAAAUUUUGUGAUGCUGUGUUUUCAUUUUCCUUCAUCUCAAAAUACAUAUAUAUAUUUUAGAUUUUUAGGUUCGUGAGUACAUGUGCACAUUUAUUAUAUAGGUAAAUUGCAUGUCACAAGGGUUUGGUGUACAGACUAUUUCAUCACCCAGGUGAUAAACCUGAUACGUAGUUUUUCAGUCCUCACCCUCCUCCCAUCCUCCAUCCUCAAGGAGGCCCCAAUGUCUAUUGCUCUCUUCUUUGUGCCCAUGUGUACUUAAUGGUUAGCUUCCAUUUAUAAGUGAGAACAUGUGGCAUUUGGUUUUCUGUUCUUGUGUUAGUUAGUUUAGGAUAAUGGUCUCCAGUUCCACCCAUGCUGCUGCAAAGGACAUGAUCUCUUUUAUGACAUGGUGUCCCUUGUAAUUUCUUUUUUAACACAAGCAGUUGUUGAGAAAAGUUUUAGUUGUUUUAAAAAUAUUGAGUUUUUAAAAGAUAUCUUUCUG
rnacentral:lncRNA from 1 species